CAGCUGGUACUGGCUAUAGUCCCCCAAAGGGGUGCAGUCCAGGGUCACCGUCUCCCCCCGCAUCACCUCCACCAGCGGGGCCACGGACACCUGCAUCGCCGCCUGGACACCUGCAGGACCGCCACAGGCUCUGGCCACUGCCACCCAUGGGAGA